GGAAUGUAGCUCAGUGGUAAAGCGCCUGCCUGGCAAGCAGAAGGUCCUGAGUUUGAUCCCAGGCACCA
rnacentral:tRNA from 1 species